ensembl:lncRNA
UGGAAAAUAAAAAUUAGUAGAAUGACCAUAAAGACUGGGAAAAGGGAAAGAAAAGAGCAGGCAAGGAGGAAAAUCAAGAUAAAAAAUAAUGCUAAGCUUGGGCAUCAAGAAGGUAAUUUUCAAAAAGUUUUAUUUAAUCUUUCAAGAAAUGUUUAUUGAGCUUUCCAAGUAUCAGGCCUUACUUUAGGUAUUUAAGUUGUAGUUGCUUUCAAAAACUCUCUUUCUUCAUAGAGCUUACAUUCUAGGCUGGGGAAUUCAGGCAAUAAAUAGGAUAAGCAAGUAAAAUGUAUGGUAUGUUGGAUAAUGAUAAGUGGUUAGCAGAGGAAUGAAGUGGGGUCGUGUGGGUAGAGCAUGUAACAUCAGGUGGACUGGGCCAGGAAGACUUUACCGAGUAAGGAUCUGAAGAAAGUGAAGUGAAUAAGCUAUGGUUAUUUUGCUUCCUAGUUCAUGGGGGAAAUGAAAGCACUCAGAAGAACAGUCCAGGCAGGGAGACUAGCAAGUUCAAAGCUUCAUAGAUGGGAGCAUGCCUGAUAUAUUCAAGGAAAGGCUAGGAAACCAGUAAAGCUACAAUGGGAUAAAUGAAGAGGAGGAGAGAAGGAGGGGAGAUGACAAAAAAGACUUUGGAAGAUGUUAAGCAGAGAGUGCCAUAUGACAUACUUGAAUAUGAUAAUUUUAUUGCUGUUUCAACAGAAUCUAAAAAAGAGCAAGGACAGAAAAAGGAAGAGCAGCAAGGAUGCUACUGCACCAACCCAGGGAUCGAACUCGGGAACUUGUGCUUGCGAGGCAGGCGGCGGAAUCGCUGAGCUAAAUCCCUGGCCCCAUGCAAGUAAUUUUUGCACAUAUCUCAGUUCUUCAGGGAUCCUGUUGAAGAUCGGACGGCCCAGGGAUAACUCCUCAAUGCCACCCUUCUCAUUCAAGUGCUCUCAUUCUGUUUGACAGUGAACUCUGAAGAUCCAUCUUCUGAAACCAGAUUCAAGGGACU